AUGGGGCUUGGGGAGGCCACCACUUGUUGGUGGCCACCAGACACAGAGCUGGCACUGGGGACUGUCCCCUCUCCAUCCCUCAAGUCCCCCACACCGUGUCCCACCAGCUUGGGGACACAUGUGACACCCCUGUCCCCCAUGUCCCAUUUCCCUCAGCUCUACAGAGACCAAAUCACCCCUAUGGGGCUUGUGGAGGCCACAACUUGUUGGUGGCCACCAGACACAGAGCUGGCACUGGGGACUGUCCCCUCUCCAUCCCUCAAGUUCCCCACACCGUGUCCCACCAGCUUGGGGACACGUGUGACACCCCUGUCCCCCAUAUCCCCCAUUUCCCUCCCCUAUGGGGCUUGGGGAGGCCACCACUUGUUGGUGGCCACCAGACACAGAGCUGGCACUGGGGACUGUCCCCCCUCCAUCCCUCAAGUCCCCCACACCGUGUCCCACCAGCAUGGGGACACGUGUGACACCCCUGUCCCCCGUGUCCCAUUUCCCUCAGCUCUACAGGGACCAAAUCACCCCUAUGGGGCUUGGGGAGGCCACCACUUGGUGGCCACCAGACACAGAGGUGGCACUGGGGACUGUCCCCCCUCCAUCCCUCAGGUCCCCCACACCAUGUCCCACCAGCUUGGGGACACAUGUGACACCCCUGUCCCCGGGGACACAUGUGACACCCCUGUCCCCCAUAUCCCCUGUUUCCCUCCCUUAUGGGGCCUGGGGAGGCCACCACUUGUUGGUGGCCACCAGACACAGAGCUGGUACUGGGGACUGUCCCCUCUCCAUCCCUCCAUCCCCACACCGUGUCCCACCAGCUUGGGGGCCCGUGUGACACCCCUGUCCCCCAUGUCCCGUUUCCCCCAGCUCUGCAGGGACCAAAUCACCCCUAUGGGCCUCGGGGAGGUCACCACUUCUUGGUGGCCACCUGGCACGUGCCAGCUCCUUGCCCGAGGGUGGUUCUUUUGGUGUCCUUACCUCCAGGUGGUGGGACACAGCUCUGCACUGUCACCUCCACCUCACAGAGGACGAGGAAUUCCUCCCGGCCGGGGACGAUGA
rnacentral:lncRNA from 1 species